UACGGAGGAUCCAAGCGCUAUCCGGAUUUAUUGGGUUUAAAGGGUGCGUAGGCGGCUUUUUAAGUCAGGGGUGAAAGACGGUGGCUCAACCAUCGCAGUGCCUUUGAUACUGAAGAGCUUGAUUAAACUUGAGGUAGGCGGAAUGUGACAAGUAGCGGUGAAAUGCAUAGAUAUGUCACAGGACACCGAUUGCGAAGGCAGCUUACUAAGGUUUCAAUGACGCUGAGGCACGAAAGCGUGGGGAUCAAACAGG
rnacentral:rRNA from 1 species